AGUACGGAUAUGGUGAAAUCUGGAUUACAGUACUAAGGGAUCUUCCCAAAGUUCCAAAGGGAAGGUUCCGGUGUUCUUUCAUCUCCGACAUCUAUAUCUCGACCAACACAUACCACCUCGAAGAAGAAGAAGAAACAGCUGUGAUUUUCAAGCCACGCCAAGUCCGAUUCCACAAAAGACUUCCGAAGAAAACUUGAGGGACCAAGUUCAAUCUAAGAGGGGAAUGUCACAGGGUAAAUUUGCCUCACUAUGUGAUAAGAUAGGUAAUCCCAACCGCCUUAUCAUGAGUCACCGCCAGGGUAACGUCCAGUCAUUCUAAAUAUGAUACAUCCGUACAAUCAAAGUCCAGAGUAACAUCCAACCAUAUGAUACAUCUAUACGACCAAAGUCUUUCUCCCACUCCAACAAAUAAAGGCAUAUAAAUACUCCUCCCGAAAUCACCCGAGCGAGUUUGCAAUAUUCUGAAUUACCCUAAACCUAAAGUCUAUCGUUGCGAACCAUCGUACAAGUGUGUAAAAAUAAAGAGUUCGAUCUUCUGUUUUCAGAACGACGUUUUUUCAAUAAUUCGUUGAAUUAUUACGCGACACGGCCAUGGGCUUGUCACGUAAUAAAUGACGAGGUGUUAUAAAAAAGGCGAAUGCUUUGUUAAUGCGACAAUGUUAUAAUUCACUUGUAGGGCACAGACUGACUUACUGACUAAAGGACUGGGGUUUUCAUCUCUUCGUUAUGAUUCGCAUAUCUUAUGGAUGGAAGUCCGGUUAUUGUCUAUUCUCAUCGUCACCGCAUUACUAAGUGUUAUAGAUAUACCCGGAGGUCGGCUUUUGAGUGACGUUACACUCUCUUAGAGUAGGCCGCGGGAGGACCAUAUAAUUUCAAAAACUCGUCGUCCUGUCGAUCAUCCAAUGCAAUCCAUGUCCCAAUGACUUCAGCAGUUAGUGUUUGAGAAAGACGCCUUAUCAGUGCAUCGGUUGAAAAGACAGUUAAAAAACGCUUUACGAGAGAUCCAAACAUCCUGUUGAUGGUGUGUAUGAAUAUGUGGGCCCCAAGUCAGACGAUAACGAUACGAACUAUAAUAAGCUAAGUCUAUGAAGGGAAGCUAAACGCUACAGAUAACUCACGCUUUAUGGACAUAAUCGGAAUAAGUUGCGCUCAUAUAAUUAAUCUAAUGAGCAGUGUUAGUCCAAACCAUCAGUCCUUAACAUUUAUGCAAAUUUCAUGUACCCAUCUAUGCCAUAUAACACGUUGAAUCCAUUUUUUUCUUAGAUUUUGGUGAUGUAAAGAGUUCAUCACAAAAUAUACGAGCUCGAGCGAAGAAUUUUGUAUUUUUUAUUUUUCCACUGCUACAUUUUCUUCAUCUUUGCUAAGUGCGCUCCUGGUUUUGAAAGAUUUUUUUCGUUCGGGCUUUUUUCCAGCUGAUUGUUACAGUGUUCCUUCUUUCCUUCGCUUUUCUCUUUACCCUUUCCUUUGCUUGGCAGAUAGAUUUGAUUAUUUUGGGGGAAAAUAUAAAUGCAGAAGGAUUUGCAUCCUUAGACGUCAGUGAUAGCGUUCCUACGCUCUUAGAUGUGGAUAGUAGCAUUUCUGCGUCUUUUGAUAAAAGGACUUGCUGCAUAAUGUUGAUCGCCUAUUGGAUCCUCUUGUAUCUGGCUGUUGAUAUUUGGUGGUCUCUAUUUGUAGUUUUUGAAGGAGGAUACAAGUAAUCGGGAAACAUAUUAAAGGGAAAUAUUCCAGUUUCUUCGGACCCUUGAAUGACAGUUUCAAUGAUAACUGCUACAAAAAAAUGUUGCUAUAUAUAAUUCCAUAACUCCGUAAGUUGUUACACAGCGUUUAAAGUAUUUAUUGGAGCCGUGAAAUUUACAUCAGGAUGUUUCAAAUGAUGAGCGCAAUACACAUCAUGCAACGAAAGCACUGGUUCCUCAAGCAUGUGACUUGAGAAUUUUAUUAAUUCCCUAAACCAAAGAAUAAAAAUAUUUUUUUUUAUACUCAGCCACUGUCGUGGUAAACUGCGAAGAUGCCAGAAGUUUAACUAUCCAUUAACUUCGGUUUCGCUCUCUUUCAUUAGGACACAAAUAAAAUGGUAGGCGUAUAGUUUACAGUGGCAUUCGUAUAUAUCUCGGCUGUAAGAAAAGUUCUGAGAAAAGAAACUGUUUUUGUGAGCCGAAGCCAUGAACACAGCAGUGCAUGUCAUAAACAAGACUGGGCUGACAAGACAGGACAAUAAAACACCGUAUGAACUGUGGUACGGGAAACCGCCAGAUUUAAAGAAGUUUAGGGUUUUAAAUACUGAGUGCUUUGCACAUAUACUUGCGGAAAAGAGAAGAAAACUUGGCAAAAAGACUAACAAAUGAUAUUUUGUAGGCUAUCUAAAUGACGGACGAGGGUAUCGAGUGUACGUGCCGACCGUAAGAAAUGUAAUAUUGUGCUGUGACGUAAUAUUUAAGCCCGAACUAGAAACUGCGAAAUUUGUUCAUUUAAGUUUACCGAAAAUUGUCGAACGCGAAGUUGUGUCCGCAGAGCGAUAGAACAUGUAUGUAUGAAAGUGCAGAGUGUGAACAUGAAAAACAACUUCAUGUAACUAACGAGAAUGUGAGACAAUUGAGAGACAGAGGUAAGAUCAAACGAACCGAUUUUUAUGAUAGCCCAGUAACGUACAUAACGGAAAAAUUACCGAUAGAUUUUAACGAAGCGAUAAGAUCCGAAAAGAAUGUUAUGGCAAACGGCUAUGAAUGAUGAAAUAAAAUCGCACUAUAAAGAUAAGACGUGGAUUCUUGUAGAAAAACCAAAAGAUCAGAAGAUACUUAGUGAUAGGUGGGUUUUAACGGUCAAGCUAAAUCCGCACAAUUCGGAACGAUACAAAGCGCGACUUGUAAUAAAGGGUGUUUACAGAAAGAAGGCAUAGAUUAUAAGGAAACCUAUAGUUCCGUUGCUCGGUGUGACACAAUUAGGUUAAUGCUUAGUAUUGCUGCCAAAAAUAAUUUACACCUUGGUCAGUUAGACAUUAAAACAGCAUUUUUAUAUGGAAGUCUGAAAGAAGAUAUUUGUAUGAAACCACCUAAAGGUUAUGAUGAUGAUACGAAUCGUGUUUGUAAAUUGCUAAAAAGCCUAUACGGCUUAAGGGGGGGGGGGAGGGUAAGGUAUUAAAUUUUUUUUGCAUCUUUUUUAUUUUUUAAUUUAAUGCAUAGUAUCUUAAGAAUAUUGUGUCAAAAUUUCAAGUCGAUUGGAGCAAAAUUGACGAAGUUACGAGUAUUUUUAUACAUGUAGAAUUUUAAUACCUACCCGACCCGAGAGAGCUAUUGUUACCUGGCAGAUGUUUCGCUAACCUUACCCCCCAGAUCUAUUUAUAGAAAUUUCGGCUUAAGUACAAACCUCCUUAUACCUGUACUGUAUAUUUUGUCAGUGCAGAGUGUAAAAUUUAGUGUAGCAGUAAAUAUUCUAUCGAGCAGACGUAUGCGUGCGUUCCUAUUUUCGCAUCAUUUUGGCUCCGCUUUCAUUAAGAUUUGUGUUGAAUUAUUACUAAAAUGCGUAAAAAGAUUACAAGAUCUGAUAGACAAUCAGCUGAUUCGAGAUUAUAUCGUCCUAGAAAAAUUGUACCUCCGCAAAAACGUAAAAACGAAGGCAUAUCAACAAGUAGCGCGUCAGCUAAAAAAAUAAAAGUGACCGUUGAAGAUCAAGUUACGGAGGAUCUUGAAAAACAUUAUAUGAUAAUUGAUUUUUUAUUAGUCUUUUCAACAAUUGCUACGCUAGUGAAGUGUGUGAAAUGUGAUGGAAAAGUAAAUUUUCUUUCGACAUUAAAAACGGCCUUGGAUUUAACAUCAAAGUGUCAGGCGAAUGCUGUAAACAGAUUACAAAUGUUCCGUCUAGUGCAAGAAUAAACUCUGGUAUUUUUGAAAUUAAUUGUCGGUUUGUUUUUGUGAUGAGGAUAUUAGGCCUCGGAUUAGUUGGCUGUGAAAAGUUCUGCGGUUUGAUGGAUUUGUCUAGAAGGGUUUUUAUCAACACCGACGUACAAUGAUUACAUGAAAAAAAUUUGCACGAUUGUGAAAGAAGUAGCGAAUCGAUUUUUUUAUCUGCUAUAAAAAAAGAAAAAGCAGCAACAGCCGAAGAGAAAAAUACUGAAGAUGCCGACGAACUCACUGUAUCAAGCUACGUUACGAUGGCCCCCAAGGGUGUUGACGCAAUGUGAUUUCUGCCCAGUGUUCUGAAUGUCAACGUGAAGAAAUUCAAAAAAGCGCGGGUAAACGGCGGAAGUAACUAUGACUCUCUUAAGGGCGCAGCAUACCGCUAUUAAACGGUUGUGCUGUGAACCCGGGAUUGUUGUAGUUGCUCGGGGGUAGGCAAGAUUUUGGUCUUGUCUGCCCAAGUCGCACUCCUACCUCCCUGUGGUACCGCCGGUAACACGCGCGCCGCAUCAGCGUGGGGCGUACUCCCCCGGAUGCGGCCGCGCGUGGCUAAACGGAAUGCGGCGACGAAGGAGCGAAGGACUAACUACUUAACAGUCUUUCGAAACGGCUGCUUGGAGCCGUGAAGAAAUGGAGUCUAAAUUUAACAAAGGAACUCGUUCCUUCGUGUUGAUGACGACUGGUAGAGCUAGUUGACAUGAUUUGGAUAAAGAAUUGGACCGUCGAAUUGAUAAUCAAAAAUUGUAUCAAAAUUCGAUAAUGAUGAAGUAAAAGCCUCGGACGCAACGCUUCUCGGUCCCAGAGGCGCUGUGGCAGAUUUAUCCGCUUUGGAGCGGACCACUGAUGAUGACCAGGCUUUGUUCCCGGCUAUGAACUGAGAAGUAAUGGUGCCGCUCGUGGGCAAUCAGGUUGCCAGUCCAGUAUGCGAGAAAAGGGAAGUGGACCUUUUCUUUAUAACUUUGUCGGACCUGGAUGGGCACCUUACUCAACAUCACCCGGAAGACCCUAUACAGUGGGAAAUGCUCAAAUUGUCAAAAAAGCUUCCCUAAGCUUCAUGGGGCUAGGUGCCACACACCCAAGUGUAGUGGCCCUAGUCAGGCUAUGGCAGGAGAGUUUCAAUGUGAAGCCUGCCCUUUGAACUUCGUAAAGAGGGCUAUCCACCUACGAACGGCAUGCGCACCCUGCCGUUAGAAAUAUAAAAAGAAGGGGAGCGGACCCCCCUUAACAAGAAAAAAGUAAGUAUUGGAAAGUAGAAGAGGUAGCGCUCUUGAAGGGGCUCUGGGAGUUAUAUAAAGGGCAUAAAUACUCUAAUAAAGAAAUAAGUAAAUACCUCACCACAAUAACAAUAGAUCAAAUAAAAUACUAAAGAAAGAAGCUAAAUCUAGUUGGUGAGGAGAGCUCCCAAGAGGCUACCUCAUUGGCAACAGAGGGAGGGUGCGAUCUCGUUGGUUCAGGCAAUGUGCAUAUUGAAAGAAUGCCUGAAGUCCGCCACGAGAUUGUUAAUGAUGAGGAGCCUACCCGAAAAUGGAGGCUCCUGCUUGAAAAUGAAAUAGAUAAGUCAACCGAGGUACCCCCUGUUUUAAGGGUGGUUUACGAUCGGUUGUUGAUUAUCUGGAAGUCUACAAAGACGUGACGAAGCUAUAAAAGAAAGAAUUAAUAGCUUUAUAAGCACAACUCUAUACGAAUCAAUUGUUAACCACAAUAAAAACCAAGUGGAUUCUAAGACUGUAAAAAAGCAGACCAAAAAUAAUAAUAAUAAAAAGAACAAUAGGAACUCACGGAAGCGAUAUUCCUACGCACGUUGCCAGGCAUUGUUCCGUGAGUGUCCCAGGAGACUGGCUGAUGCUGUCAUCAAUAACGAUCGGGCAUACCUCGAACCAGCCAGGCCCGAUUCCAGUAGCAAGAGCCUCCAAGCUGUCCCUAACUGAGAUUUUCCAGCCGAUAACUGCUGAGGAUGUGGCGGAGAGGAUCGGCAAAAUAAGAAAGAAGGCUGCGGCAGGGCCAGAUGGACUGCAAAAAGAUCACCUCAUGAUUCCUGCCCUGCCUAUUAUUUUAGCCAAAUUAUUCAAUAUAUUGAGCUACUGUUCUUAUUUUCCUUCUGCAUGGAAGGAGAAUAGAACCACAUUGAUACCUAAGCUCAACAAACCGGGUAGCCAAGUGGAAAAUUGGCGGCCUAUAACUAUAGGCCCCAUUCUCAGCCGAAUCUUCUCCUCCAUUAUCGACGGGAGGAUCAGGAGGGAUAUUGUAUUGAAUAUAUGAGGCAGAAGGGUUUUACAUCCGAAUGUCGAUGUAAAAUCAAUAUCGAACUACUAAAUUUUGCCUUAAGCUAUUGCAAAAGGAAUAAUGGCGGGCUAUUCACUAUUGUGGAUAUCUCGAAGGCAUUCGAUACGGUGCCCCAUGCAGCAUUGAAACCGUGCCUGGCAAGGAAGGCUGUGCCGGCAUGGCAAUUAGUAGUGGAUCAAGUGCUCGUGACUGGGCGCUAUCAACUGACUCCAUACGUAUAAGACGAGCAGAUCAGUAAGCUGAAGAACAAACUAAAGAAGAUAGGAUUCGUCGUAGGCAGGAGCAAAAAAAUGCUUUAGACAUCAUGGAUGAUAGCAACAUCCUUUAUGGACCUGGCAUUGAUGAUUCAGUGUGAGAUGAUCCAGCACCAAAUUAUGAGGGGCACAACAAUUCUACUUUUUUCCUAGACACCAUUGCCGUAUUUUUUAAUAUUUCUCCGUGAAAAUUUUAUACAAUAUUCUUCGAAUGUCAUACUUUAAUGUACUAUUGGUUUUAAUAAAGUGAUUUUAACUAUGUCGUCACAAAAAAUUCACAAAAA